GCGGCGGACGGCUCAGGACAACGGUUGCACCCCCCGCGGCGGUCCCUGCUAGCCGGACACCGCUGGCAACCCGGCGCCAAGACGUGCGCGCAAGUGCGGGCGCCCGCGGGCGAGCAGCGUGACGCAG
rnacentral:rRNA from 1 species